rnacentral:lncRNA from 1 species
AUACUUGUAUUUUCACAGAUAAAGUACAGAGAUCGGAUGUUGAAAGCAUUCAGCAUAGAAAUCUCAGAGAGGGGUCUGCUACCCUCUCGGACAUAGUCGUAUGCCAUAAAGUACUUGAACUGAUUAUAUCAUGAUUGUCACAAGUAGAUAUCAGUUGUAUCCAGGCUGUGAGUGCUAGAUUGCUGUGAAAACAUCCUUAAGCUCUUAAGAAGAACUGAGGACA